ACUCACUGCACCACCACUGUUUCACCAACAGAGGGUAGCACUACAACACAUUCCUACCCAGCCUGACAGACACAGGCAAUCCGGAAUGACCAGUGAGGAGCUCUAUGGUGAUCUGCAGGACCUGAAGGAAUCAGCCUGUGACCUGACAGAGAUGGAGCCAACCAACUCAUUGUGCUCAACAAUGACAGCCAUGGGAACCUGAGUGCCUUCCUGGGGCCUGCUCUACACUGAGAAACGGCAGUGGCAACAAGCCAUGUCCGACUUUGAAGCGGGAUCAAACUCGACAGCACUGGCCCACGUGAACCUGGCUUGCUGAAGAUCAGGGUGGGAAAAUAUCCGCAGUGGUUGGUGGAUACUCACAUUUUACCAGCCCCCCCAAUUUUUUUCCAGGCCCAUUUUUUCUUCUAUGCUGUACCCCGUCCCGCUUUCACCUCUGUAGCGUUCAGAUUGUUUCUUCUAGAGCUGAAACACACACUAAAAUAAAUAUUAAUGUACCAGCCAAUGCCAAAAUCUACCAGCAUUUGGCUAGUGGCUUGUGUUCAUUUCCCACCCUGCUGAAGAUGGGUCAGAAUUAUGUAGCCAUCAGAAUGUUCAGCAAUGCCUUAAGGGUGGACCCCACCUACAUCAGAGGAUACAGGUAGCCUAGUGGUUAGAGCGUUGGGCCAGUAACGAAAGGUUGGUGGAUCGAAUC